UUUACAAUUCAACCAAGUCCUAACGCAUGGAUUUUGUGGGAAUAUGUAAACCAUAGCAACCAAGGAGAAGAAUUCUGUUACUUCUAGGCACCAUUACUGAUACACAUUUUGUGUGCUAGUCAGAUGCUUCAUAUGCAUUUUUAGUCUAAAUAUGAUGUCCAAGUUACAGGUGCUAUUGUUAUCUUCCUUUUACAGGUGAGUUAACUCUUUACAGAGUUAACAUAAUGGCUACAUACGAUUGCACCAGAGAGUCUGCAGACAUCUACACAAACAAGAAGUGCUGAGUCAGUUCAAUUCACCAUUUUAGCAAUGUCAUGAAGAUUCAAGUAUUUUCAAGAUCAGCUCAACAGCUCAGUAAUGUCAGCAAUCAGAGUCCUGCCUCUGUUCUGCUACUCCUAGAUGAAGAUAUGAAUAACGCCCUCACCAGUACUGAAGCCAUAUGGGAAGGUCCUGAUCUCACAUCCUGAAGUCUCAAUAUGAGCACCAGGCAUAUACAUGCAUGCCCAUGAGGCCGGGUUUACAUCGUGGCAUGAAGAUCCUGCUGGAGCUGCACUUGAAAUCUGGGCCAAUCCCAGCUUUUUCGUUUUACACACGGCAUAAUCAUUUUGUUUCUAACCUCUUUCACAUAUAACCUUUCAAAAGCUGCUUUCUGUGUUGUUGGCAUUGAGCCAAUUUAUCCUCUACAAAUUUUGUAUUUCUAAGCCUUAAGGUUACAACAAGCCAUAUUGUUGUGCAGCUUCUUAUACAGGAUGUGAAUUUAAAGAGAACGUGAGUCUCUGAGACUGCAAUUCUCAGGUAUUAAAAAUAACAAUACAGAGGCAGAAGAAGCCGGGCCUUCAGAAGAAGGUUUCACAUGGCUCCAGCA